CAGCCGCCGCGGUAAUACGAAGGGGGCUAGCGUUGUUCGGAAUUACUGGGCGUAAAGGGCGCGUAGGCGGCCAUUCAAGUUAGAUGUGAAAGCCCUGGGCUCAACCUAGGAAUUGCAUUUGAUACUGUUUGGCUUGAGUUCGGGAGAGGUGAGUGGAAUUCCCAGUAUAGAGGUGAAAUUCGUAGAUAUUGGGAAGAACACCAGCGGCGAAGGCGGCUCACUGGACCGACACUGACGCCGAGGCGCGAAAGCGUGGGGAGCAAACAGGAUUAGAUACCCGCGUAGUCCCUGUCUCUUAUAC
rnacentral:rRNA from 1 species